rnacentral:lncRNA from 1 species
GAAGUGGUGGGUAGAAGACAGAAAACUACAGUCCAUGUUCAAGAUACUGCAAUAGACCUUGAAUCGGAUACAAAGAGAUUGUGUGCAGAGGAAGAUAAAAUAAACGGGAGAAAGAUAAAAGUUCACUGGAGUGGAAACCUAAAGAACCUUUUCCCAUAUGUUUGGCACAGAAGUUGUUAGCUCUUUGGGGGUGGCUGAAGCCUUUACACAGCCGGAAUUUUAAGUAUUGCAUGUUUCUGGAAGAAAAGCAUUGAUCACAUCCUCCUUGGAUGUUUAGAAUCACCGAUGGAAAUUAAUUAUUUAAGCCACAUUUGGAUCUGCAGCAAUGCUCAGAAGAAGUUUUAUAACAGCCCAGAUGACAAAUUGUUCAGCUUCAUGAAGAUUUCACCAACUAAACCAACUGUUUAG